GCCUCAGCCUCCCAACUAGCUGGGACUAGGCACGUUCCACCAUAUCCAGCUAUUUUUUUAUUUUUAUUUUUUAUUUUAGAGAUGGGGUUUCACCAUGUUGGCAAGGAUGGUCUAGAUCCCCUGACCUCGUGAUCCACCCGCCUCGGCCUCCCAAAAUGCUGGGAUUACAUCCUCACUCUAACUUAAAGCAAUGGUGCCUAUACAAACUGAAGCCCUCAAAGCUUCUGGAUUAUAUUUUAAAAUUCUCUCCUGUGUUUAUACUGUCCCUCCUUUCCAGUGUUUAUCUUGGGAAUUAUUCACUUUUUCCAGAUCUAAUCCACACCAUAAUCCCAUUAACUGCUUCAAGCUAGACUUGGAGUGGUCAGAACUUGAUUCCACAUAUAUGUAACUCUCUGUGGAAAAAAACCAGAGUCCCAAAAGUCAAUGCUAUUUUGUCUCAUCUUUCCAUCUCACACUUCAUUACUAAGUGUGUGAUCUACGGCGACAGACAUCUCAGUUUGAGAACUUACACAAGACAUCAUCUCAAUGUUUAAUGUAAUGUUCCAAAGUAAGCACUAAUUCCCUUUGGGUACCAUAGUUCUAAAACUUUUUCUAUAUAAAAUGAUACCUCUGAUGUAGGUAUGACCCCCUGCUAGGGUUCAUGGUGUCUAAUGACUUAUAAAAGUGAAAAUAUUAUAUACUUUGCAACCAGCAAAAGUCCUUAUUCCAAGAGAUGUAAUUUAAUUCCUGUGAUCCAAACGUCCAAAUUAUUUUUAUAAUUUUAUAAAUGAACCCAUCUCUAAGUUUUCCUUUCAAUAAAAAAUAAAUAUUGAAAGAAGAAUGGAAAAAUACCCAAGUUGCUGGUUUUUUCCAAAAAUGAUUAUUUUUUAAUACUUCAUAAGAAACAAAUGUGCAAUUUAAGUGUAAGUAUAUGUUCAUAUACAUAAAUAUACAUAUGUACACAUACAGAGAGAGACAGACACCAUGAAUUCUUAGAAAGCUGAACACAAGUUUCAUUGCUUAGAAAUUCUGAGUUUGAUAUUUUGCUUCCUCUUUCUUAUUUGGUUUUAUUCAAGCUGCAUCUCAUUUAUGUUUUUCUCUUAAUUCAAUUAAAUUACCUUGAUGAUUUGA